GGGGCCUUAGCUCAGUUGGGAGAGCGCUUGCAUGGCAUGCAAGAGGUCGAGGGUUCGAAUCCCUUAGGCUCCA
rnacentral:tRNA from 2 species